ACGCUGGCGGCGUGCCUAAUACAUGCAAGUAGAACGCACAGUUUAUACCGUAGCUUGCUAUACCAUAGACUGUGAGUUGCGAACGGGUGAGUAACGCGUAGGUAACCUGCCUGGUAGCGGGGGAUAACUAUUGGAAACGAUAGCUAAUACCGCAUAAUAUUAAUUAUUGCAUGAUAAUUGAUUGAAAGGUGCAACUGCAUCACUACCAGAUGGACCUGCGUUGUAUUAGCUAGUAGGUGAGGUAACGGCUCACCUAGGCGACGAUACAUAGCCGACCUGAGAGGGUGAUCGGCCACACUGGGACUGAGACACGGCCCAGACUCCUACGGGAGGCAGCAGUAGGGAAUCUUCGGCAAUGGACGAAAGUCUGACCGAGCAACGCCGCGUGAGUGAAGAAGGUUUUCGGAUCGUAAAGCUCUGUUGUAAGAGAAGAACGGGUGUGAGAGUGGAAAGUUCACACUGUGACGGUAUCUUACCAGAAAGGGACGGCUAACUACGUGCCAGCAGCCGCGGUAAUACGUAGGUCCCGAGCGUUGUCCGGAUUUAUUGGGCGUAAAGCGAGCGCAGGCGGUUAGAUAAGUCUGAAGUUAAAGGCUGUGGCUUAACCAUAGUACGCUUUGGAAACUGUUUAACUUGAGUGCAGAAGGGGAGAGUGGAAUUCCAUGUGUAGCGGUGAAAUGCGUAGAUAUAUGGAGGAACACCGGUGGCGAAAGCGGCUCUCUGGUCUGUAACUGACGCUGAGGCUCGAAAGCGUGGGGAGCGAACAGGAUUAGAUACCCUGGUAGUCCACGCCGUAAACGAUGAGUGCUAGGUGUUAGGCCCUUUCCGGGGCUUAGUGCCGCAGCUAACGCAUUAAGCACUCCGCCUGGGGAGUACGACCGCAAGGUUGAAACUCAAAGGAAUUGACGGG
rnacentral:rRNA from 1 species